AACGCACGAGACCUGCGGACCUGCGGAAGGAUCAUUGUCAAGUACCGCGACUCUUGUUCGCGGGUCGGGGGGCCCUUCGGGAGGCCCUGUCUGAACCCUAUGUCAUUGUCGCACCUCGCGUUUCCUCGGCGGGCUCGCCCGCCAACGAGGACCCCAUACCAAACCCAUUGCAGUAUUGCAGUACACGUCUCACAAACAAUCAAUCAAAACUUUUAACAAUGGAUCUCUAGAUCGGAAGAG
rnacentral:misc_RNA from 1 species